rnacentral:rRNA from 1 species
UACAGAGGUCCCAAGCGUUGUUCGGAUUCAUUGGGCGUAAAGGGUGUGUAGGUGGCGCCGUAAGUCGGGUGUGAAAUCUCGGGGCUUAACUCCGAAACUGCAUUCGAUACUGCGGUGCUUGAGGACUGGAGAGGAGACUGGAAUUCAUGGUGUAGCAGUGAAAUGCGUAGAGAUCAUGAGGAAGACCAGUGGCGAAGGCGGGUCU